rnacentral:lncRNA from 1 species
UGACCAUUACGGUCCAAGGACAGGUAAGCCCUAAAUGCGAAGGAGUGUUGGUUUUCCCCAAGCAAUUGGUGUGAUCUCUGUUUCUUCCCUAGCAGCUUUUCAGCUUCCAUCCGAGUUUUAACGGUUCCCUCAGCUGAGUUCAUAAUUGCCUCCCUUGGGUUGUAGGCCCGUUAUUUCAGUAGUUGGCACAGAUUCAGUAGAAUUUUGUUUCCCGCAAGUCUCCAUUGGAGUUAUC